UCAAGUGAAAAAGGGUCUACGGCGGAUGCCUUGGAGCUGUUCGGCGAGGAAGGACGUGGUAAGCUGCGAAAAGCUGCGGGAAGGAGCAAACAUCCUAUGAUCCGCAGGUCUCCGAAUGGGGUAACCCAGCAGAUUAGAAUAUCUGUUAUUAUAUAGUGAAUAAAUAGCUAUAUAAGGUCAUACUGUGGGAACUGAACCAUCUAAGUACCACAAGGAAAAGAAAUCAAAAGAGAUUCCCUAAGUAGCGGCGAGCGAAACGGGAAGAGACUAAACCAAUUAUGUGUAAGAUUUGCAUCGUUGCAUAGUUGGGGUUGCAGGAUUGUAUCAGAGGAGGUGCAAAACUCUUCGCAUAGUCAAAAAUUAUUUACAUAGAAGAAUAGUCUGGGAAGUCUAACCAAAGAGGGUGAAAGUCCCGUAAUUAAAAUGUAAAUAACUAUGUGGAUACAACACCUAAGUACGACGGGACACGAGUAAUCUUGUCGGAAUCUGGGGAGCCCACUCUCCAAGUCUAAAUACGAAACAGCUACCGAUAGCGAAUAGUACCGUGAGGGAAUGGUGAAAAGAACCCCGGAAGGGGAGUGAAAUAGAACCUGAAACCGUAGACCUACAAGCGGUCAAAGCCACAUAAGUGGUGAUGGCGUGCCUUUUGUAGAAUGAGCCUGCGAGUUAAUUUAUGUAGCGAGGUUAAGAGAUAGAAGUCUUGAAUCCGAAGGGAAACCGAGUCUGAAAAGGGCGUUUAGUUGCAUGGAUUAGACCCGAAGCCAAGUGAUCUAUUUAUGGUCAGGUUGAAGCUUGAGUAAAAUCAAGUGGAGGACCGAACACUAGUCUGUUAAAAAAGGCAGUGAUGAACUGUGAAUAGGGGUGAAAGGCCAAACAAACUUGGAGAUAGCUGGCACUCCUCGAAAUAGCUUUAGGGCUAGCCUUGAUUUGAUAAUAUCGGAGGUAGAGCACUGAAUGGGCUAGGGCCUGUCAAAGGGUACCAAACCUAAUCAAACUCCGAAUGCCAAUAUUCAAUAAUCAGGAGUCAGACUGCGGGUGAUAAGAUUCGUGGUCGAAAGGGAAAGAGCCCAGACCGUCAGCUAAGGUCCCUAAAUUAUACUAAGUGGAAAAGGAAGUUAGAUGGCAAAGACAGCCAGGAGGUUGGCUUAGAAGCAGCCACUCCUUUAAAGAGUGCGUAAUAGCUCACUGGUCGAGUCGUUUAGCGCCGAUAAUGUAACGGGGCUAAGUAUAAUACCGAAGCUACGGAAUCAAUGUAAAUUGGUUGGUAGAGGAGCAUUCCCUAUGUUGAUGAAGGUGUAUUGUGAAGUAUGCUGGAGAUAUGGGAAGAGAGAAUGCAGGCAUGAGUAACGAUAAAAUAGGUGAGAUUCCUAUUCGCCGAAAGCAUAAGGUUUCCAGGGUAAAGUAAAUCUGCCCAUGGGUUAGUCGACCCCUAAGAUAAGGCUGAAAAGCGUAGUCGAUGGGAAACAGGUUAAUAUUCCUGUACCUCUUAUAGUUUCGAAGGAAUGACGCAUGAAGCGAAGCUGAGCACGGCGAUGGUUGUCCGUGUUUAAACAACAAGCUGUUGAGUGAUGUAGGCAAAUCCGCAUUAUGAGGUAAGUUGUAAAGACGAGUGGACCUACGGGAAAGCGAAGUCAGUGGAGUUAUGGUGCCGAGAAAUAAUUUCUAAGGUUAGGCUAUAAGGGAUCGUACCGAGAACCGACACAGGUAUGCGGGAUGAAUAUUCUAAGGCGUACGGAAGAAUUCGCGUUAAGGAACUCGGCAAAAUGCAUACGUAACUUAGGGAGAAGUAUGGCCUACUGAGUUAAUCAGAGGUUGCAGAGAAAUGGCUCAAGCGACUGUUUAUCAAAAACACAGGUCUAUGCGAAAUUGCAAAAUGAAGUAUAUGGACUGACACCUGCCCGGUGCUGGAAGGUUAAGAGGAGUUGUGCAAGCAGCGAAUUGAAGCCCCAGUAAACGGCGGCCGUAACUAUAACGGUCCUAAGGUAGCGAAAUUCCUUGUCGGGUAAGUUCCGACCCGCACGAAUGGUGUAACG
rnacentral:rRNA from 1 species